rfam:Sulfurovum sp. PC08-66 Sequence0000007448, whole genome shotgun sequence.
GUAGUGGGCUUGUGUGUGCGCUUUUUUGUUUGAGCUUCCAACGAAGCGAGAAAUUGAUCCCUAAUGGCACACUCUCUCCCAUUCUCUUUGGCUUUUUGGGGCCAACUUUACGCAGAACGGCCACUUGGGA